UGCCUGGUCAGAUGUCAAAGACGCAAGACUCAAACUCCUGAAGAUUUGACAUAAUAUGUGCCCAUUGAUCAGGGAUCAGAGACCACAGAGCGCAGAUUACUGGCUGUUAAUGGAAUCCUGUAAUGCAGCAACAGAUCAGAAUCCCGUUAUGUUCUGUAUGGGGCCAGAUACUGAGCACCA
rnacentral:lncRNA from 1 species